UACGGAGAGUGCAAGCAUUAAUCGGAAUUAUUGGGCGUAAAGGGCGCGUAGGCGGAAUCGUAAGUCAGAUGUGAAAUUCCGAAGCUCAACUUCGGAGCUGCAUUUGAAACUACGGAUCUUGAGGAUUGACGGAGAAAACGGAAUUCCACGUGUAGCGGUGAAAUGCGUAGAUAUGUGGAAGAACACCUGUGGCGAAAGCGGUUUUCUAGUUUAUACCUGACGCUGAGGCGCGAGAGCAAGGGGAGCAAACAGG
rnacentral:rRNA from 1 species